AACAGGGAUUACCUCAGUAACGGCGAGUGAAGCGGUAACAGCUCAAAUUUGAAAGCUAGCUCUUUUAGGGUUCGCAUUGUAAUUUGUAGAAGAUGCUUCGGGUGUGGCCCCGGUCUAAGUUCCUUGGAACAGGACGUCAUAGAGGGUGAGAAUCCCGUAUGUGACUGGGUGCUUUCGCUCAUGUGAAGCUCUUUCGACGAGUCGAGUUGUUUGGGAAUGCAGCUCAAAAUGGGUGGUAAAUUUCAUCUAAAGCUAAAUAUUGGCCAGAGACCGAUAGCGCACAAGUAGAGUGAUCGAAAGAUGAAAAGCACUUUGGAAAGAGAGUUAAACAGUACGUGAAAUUGUUGAAAGGGAAGCGCUUGCAACCAGACUUGCGCGCUGAUGAUCAUCCGGGCUUCUGCCCGGUGCACUCGUCUGCGCUCAGGCCAGCAUCGGUUUCGGUGGUGGGAUAAAGGCCUUGGGAAUGUAGCUCCUCUCGGGGAGUGUUAUAGCCCUCGGUGCAAUGCCGCCUACCGGGACCGAGGACCGCGCUUCGGCUAGGAUGCUGGCGUAAUGGUUGUAAGCGACCCGUCUUGAAACACGGACCAAGGAGUCUAACAUCUAUGCGAGUGUUUGGGUGUCAAACCCAUACGCGUAAUGAAAGUGAACGGAGGUGAGAACCCUUAAGGGUGCAUCAUCGACCGAUCCUGAUGUCUUCGGAUGGAUUUGAGUAAGAGCAUAGCUGUUGGGACCCGAAAGAUGGUGAACUAUGCGUGAAUAGGGUGAAGCCAGAGGAAACUCUGGUGGAGGCUCGCAGCGGUUCUGACGUGCAAAUCGAUCGUCAAAUUUGCGUAUAGGGCGAAAGACUAAUCGA
rnacentral:rRNA from 1 species